UAGGGAAGUCUUCCACAAUGGACGCAAGUCUGAUGGAGCAACGCCGCGUGAGUGAAGAAGGGUUUCGGCUCGUAAAGCUCUGUUGUUAAAGAAGAACGUGGGUAAGAGUAACUGUUUACCCAGUGACGGUAUUUAACCAGAAAGCCACGGCUAACUACGUGCUAG
rnacentral:rRNA from 1 species